rnacentral:rRNA from 1 species
GCUUGUCUCAAAGAUUAAGCCAUGCAUGUCUAAGUAUAAACUGCUUUAUACUGUGAAACUGCGAAUGGCUCAUUAAAUCAGUUAUAGUUUAUUUGAUGGUACUUACUUACUCGGAUAACCGUAGUAAUUCUAGAGCUAAUACAUGCGCAAAUACCCAACUGCUUGUCGGACGGGUAGCAUUUAUUAGAUUGAAACCAAUGCAGUCUUCGGGCUGGUAUUGUGUUGAGUCAUAAUAACUGUGCGGAUCGCGUUUUACGCGAUAAAUCGAUUGAGUUUCUGCCCUAUCAGCUUUGGAUGGUAGGAUAUGGGCCUACCAUGGCAUUAACGGGUAACGGGGAAUUAGGGUUCGAUUCCGGAGAGGGAGCCUGAGAAACGGCUACCACAUCCAAGGAAGGCAGCAGG